ensembl:lncRNA novel transcript, antisense to FAM107B
AGUAUCAAGGGUAGCGUGGAUACCAGACGUUUUGUGUUCAGUUGUGAGAAAAGACUAUUUAAGCAAUGACCCCACACGAUCUUACCUGCUCCUCAGACCACAGCCAAGGAAGAGAUUUCUGACAAACAAGCAAAAACACAACACUGUCCACACAACUGUAAAUAUGCAAGGAAGAGUUUCUUCUUGCCUGAAAACUGCUGUACAAGCAUGGCACCAGCAUCUGAGGCAAAAGGGGAGCUGGCAUGUGCAGAGAUUACAUGGCAAGAGAGGAUGCAAGAGAGAGAGAACGAGGUGCCAGAUUCUUUAACCGUCAGAUCUCAUGGGAAAUAAGGAUACAAAUUCUGGAGCAGCAACUGAUUUACCAGGAAACACUGAGGAGUAGAGCAAGGUAAAGAAUUUUAACUGUUUGGGGUUCGUUACUUCACACUUAAGAAAUCUACAAACCACAGGAAAUGAAACUUGACUAAAUGCAGAUGACACAGACAGCCAACUCCGAAAAUGUGCUGGGCUCCACUCAGUUCUAGGUGACCUUUAGCAAAAAGAGGGUGUUCUGAUGAAACCCUUUGACCAUAACCAACAGCCUCCAACUUACAGGAUUCUCCCCUCGUAUGACCAAGUGGUGUAAUCUUUGAGGUCCUGGCAGCACAGGUUGAGUGCAACCUAAAAGAGAAUGAGGAUUCCACAAGGUCUUCUGGAAUGGUACACUUAUUGGAAACUUGUUUCAGCAUUCAAAAAAACCUGGCCUGUUUCUAAAGCAAUGCAUGGUUUAAGAGGAAUGGCAAAUUGAAGCCAACGUUUUUCAAACACAUUUCACUUAAAAAAAAAUGGCCACUAGAAAGAAUGCAACUUAUUUUCAAAAAGAAUUAUCUCAAGAAAGCAUGGUUGGCCCAUUCAUCCAUCUCCCUGCCCACAAGGGAAUGAAUGAAUGAAGACAAGAUGUGCCACCUCUGAAAGACUGUUAAUCUCCCUCUCUCUAUAAAAGUGGUACUAUGUAAUUUCUACUCAUUUGGUUACAAAUAAAAUUAGUAAGUGAA